rnacentral:rRNA from 1 species
UACAGAGGUCCCAAGCGUUGUUCGGAUUCACUGGGCGUAAAGGGUGCGUAGGUGGUCGGGUAAGUCUGGUGUGAAAUCUCCGAGCUCAACUCGGAAAUGGCAUUGGAUACUAUUCGGCUAGAGGGUUGGAGGGGGGACUGGAAUACUUGGUGUAGCAGUGAAAUGCGUAGAUAUCAAGUGGAACACCAGUGGCGAAGGCGAGUCCCUGGACAACUCCUGACACUGAGGCACGAAAGCUAGGGGAGCAAACAGG